UACAGAGGGUGCGAGCGUUAAUCGGAAUUACCGGGCGUAAAGCGCACGUAGGUGGCGACGUAAGUCGGGUGUGAAAGCCCCGGGCUCAACCUGGGAAUUGCAUUCGAGACUGCAUUGCUGGAGUACGGAAGAGGAAGGCGGAAUUCCCGGUGUAGCGGUGAAAUGCGUAGAUAUCGGGAGGAACAUCAGUGGCGAAGGCGGCCUUCUGGUCCAGUACUGACACUCAAGUGCGAAAGCGUGGGGAGCAAACAGG
rnacentral:rRNA from 1 species